CUGAGCCGCCGCCGAGGACUCAGCAGCCUCCCCCUUGAGCCCCCUCGCUUCCCGACGUUCCGUUCCCCCCUGCCCGCCUUCUCCCGCCGCCGCCGCCUUCCGCAGGCCGUUUCCACCGAGGAAAAGGAAUCGUAUCGUAUGUCCGCUAUCCAGAACCUCCACUCUUUCGACCCCUUUGCUGAUGCAAGUAAGGGUGAUGACCUGCUUCCUGCUGGCACUGAGGAUUAUAUCCAUAUAAGAAUUCAACAGAGAAACGGCAGGAAGACUCUUACUACUGUCCAAGGGAUCGCUGAUGAUUACGAUAAAAAGAAACUAGUGAAGGCGUUUAAGAAAGUAGGUCUUCAGUGAGAUUGCGGGAAAGUCAUAAUGGAUUUGUCCACAAGGGGGUGCUAGCUGUGUUGUAUGUAUUGUUAGCAGAAGGGGUGAUAAAUGCAUUCAUGCUUUUGCUAGGUCUAAUUCGUUUUGUUUCGUUUGUGCUUGCAGAAGUUUGCCUGCAAUGGUACUGUAAUUGAGCAUCCGGAAUAUGGAGAAGUAAUUCAGCUACAGGGUGACCAACGCAAGAACAUAUGCCAGUUCCUCGUAGAGAUUGGACUGGCUAAGGACGAUCAGCUGAAGGUUCAUGGGUUUUAAGUGCUUGUGGUUCAUUGAAGCUUAAGUGAGGAUUUCCUUGCAAUGAGUAGAAUUUCCCUUCUGUCCCUUGUCACAAGUUUAAAAACCUCACAGCUUGUAUAAUGUAACCAUUUGGGGUCCGCUUUUAACUUGGACUAGUGUAACUCCUUCAUGCAAUAAACUGAAAAGAGCCAUGAUGUCUAGUCUUGAAGUCCCUCAUUUAAACAGAGGUCAAGCAAUAGGCGCCUGGCAGUGUCAAACCUGAAAGCAAGCAGUACCGUCAUGUUUCAGCCAAGCCCAGAGCCCUAAGAUCACAAACAACUAUGGCCGGAACCUCCUCGGCUCUCCCUCUGCAGAGUUCCCUACCCUAAGAGAAUGUUACCACCUGAACAGUCCUCGGUGAGUCUGAGAGGAAAAGGAUGGGGUAAGGCAGAAGCACCAGCUGUACUACUAGAAGGGAGUUUUUGGUGGUAGAUCCCCUGGUGUCUCCAACCUGACCAGGUGGACAGAGCUCAAAGAGGCCCCCUUCCUGCUAGAGAGGUUAUAGGACAUCUGGCUUGCCACAAAGGUCUGUUUGACCAAACAUAACCUAGCUAAGGGAUGUCCAGACAUCAGAAUGUGAGGCCAACCUUCUAUCAGAGUUAAACUUUUGACAAGGGAACAAAUCUCAAACUGAUCCAUCAGUCAUGUAGCUAGCUGUAGAGCUUGCAACUUAAUAGCAGCAGCUGCCCAAUGCCAUGUGAAGUAACAAACUGGUUUUUGGUUUUUUUUUCCCUUCAGUUUUAAUGUUAUGUGUAAUGUAUUUAAACCCUUAUUU
rnacentral:sRNA from 1 species